GACGAACGCUGGCGGCGUGCCUAAUACAUGCAAGUAGAACGCAGUUGCGAACGGGUGAGUAACGCGUAGGUAACUUCCCCAUAGCGGGGGGUAACUUUUGGAAACGAUAGCUAAUACCCCAUACUGUGAGAUGGACCUGAGUUGUUUUAGAUAGUUGGUGAGGUAAAGGCUCACCAAGGCGAAGAUACAUAGCCGACCUGCGAGGGUGAGCCGCCCCACUGGGGGAGAGAGACGACCCAGACUCCUCCGGGAGGGAGCAGUAGGGAAACGUCGGGAAAGGACGGGAGUCGGACAGAGCAACGCCGCGUGAGUGAAGAAGGUUUUCGGAUCGUAAAGCUCUUUUGUGAGAGAAGCGGUAACUAACCAGAAAGGGACGGCUAACUACGUGCCAGCCGCCGCGGUAAAAC
rnacentral:rRNA from 1 species